GGCAAGAUGGCCGAGCGGUCUAAGGCGCUGUCUUCAGGUUUGGAAACAAACUUGGCAGUCCGAAAGGGCGUGGGUUCGAAUCCCACUCUUGUCA